rnacentral:rRNA from 1 species
AACGAACGCUGGCGGCAGGCUUAACACACGCAAGUCGAGCGCCCCGCAAGGGGAGCGGCAGACGGGUGAGUAACGCGUGGGAAUCUACCCAUCUCUACGGAAUAACGCAUGGAAACGUGUGCUAAUACCGUAUACGUCCUUCGGGAGAAAGAUUUAUCGGAGAUGGAUGAGCCCGCGUUGGAUUAGCUAGUUGGUGGGGUAAAGGCCUACCAAGGCGACGAUCCAUAGCUGGUCUGAGAGGGUGAUCAGCCACACUGGGACUGAGACACGGCCCAGACUCCUACGGGAGGCAGCAGUGGGGAAUAUUGGACAAUGGGCGCAAGCCUGAUCCAGCCAUGCCGCGUGAGUGAUGAAGGCCCUAGGGUUGUAAAGCUCUUUCACCGGUGAAGAUAAUGACGGUAACCGGAGAAGAAGCCCCGGCUAACUUCGUGCCAGCCGCCGCCGUAAGAC